rnacentral:rRNA from 4 species
GAUUCGUCACACUAUCAUUAACUGAAUCCAUAGGUUAAUGAGGCGAACCGGGGGAACUGAAACAUCUAAGUACCCCGAGGAAAAGAAAUCAACCGAGAUUCCCCCAGUAGCGGCGAGCGAACGGGGAGGAGCCCAGAGCCUGAAUCAGCAUGUGUGUUAGUGGAAGCGUCUGGAAAGGCGCGCGAUACAGGGUGACAGCCCCGUACACAAAAGCGCAUGUGCUGUGAGCUCGAUGAGUAGGGCGGGACACGUGGUAUCCUGUCUGAAUAUGGGGGGACCAUCCUCCAAGGCUAAAUACUCCUGACUGACCGAUAGUGAACCAGUACCGUGAGGGAAAGGCGAAAAGAACCCCGGCGAGGGGAGUGAAAAAGAACCUGAAACCGUGUACGUACAAGCAGUGGGAGCACAGGUUUACCUGUGUGACUGCGUACCUUUUGUAUAAUGGGUCAGCGACUUAUAUUCUGUAGCAAGGUUAACCGUAUAGGGGAGC